GACCAGUAAUCAUGAGCGAUUAAGAAGAGCGCGAGAAUCAUAGAAUAAAAUCCAACGUACUUGACGCUGUAAAGAAAUGAAAUAUUUACGAUGCCUAAUAUCAGCCACAACCACCAGGACGCUGACGUCGGUUGAUCCAUAACUUUCCGAAAUUUCACGAUGCACAACAACCCGAGCAAUGAGAAAUGCAUCAAGAUACUUUCCAUCAGGACAAAUCUCGACUGUGUCAAUAAUGCAUUAUCUGAAAUUGCAAUAGCUAUAGUAGAUCAGUAAAUUGAUGAAAUCACUGCAAAUAUUAUGCGUUUUAAUUUAAGUGACUGCAGUAGUAAAGAUAAGUUAGUCAAAUUUUAGCAAAGAUCAACGUGGUGGAUUUAAUUUUUAAGUAACAAAUUAUAUACUACAUGUUAAUAAUUAUAUGUCGGGCAUACAAUAGAAUCUCGCUACUAU